rnacentral:rRNA from 1 species
AAUGGGCGAAAGCCUGACGCAGCAACGCCGCGUGAGUGAUGAAGGCCCUCGGGUCGUAAAGCUCUGUCAGAGGGGAAGAAACUUUUGGGGGAGAAUAUCCCUUGAAACUGACGGUACCCUCAAAGGAAGCACCGGCUAACUCCGUGCCAGCAGCCGCGGUAAUACGGAGGGUGCAAGCGUUGUUCGGAAUUAUUGGGCGUAAAGCGCGUGUAGGCGGCUAUUUAAGUCUGAUGUGAAAGCCCGGGGCUCAACCCCGGAAGUGCAUUGGAAACUGGAUAGCUUGAGUACGGGAGAGGGUAGUGGAAUUUCGAGUGUAGGGGUGAAAUCCGUAGAUAUUCGAAGGAACACCGGUGGCGAAGGCGGCUACCUGGACCGAUACUGACGCUGAGACGCGAAAGCGUGGGGAGCAAA